rnacentral:rRNA from 1 species
GAUGAACGCUGGCGGCGUGCCUAAUACAUGCAAGUCGAGCGAACAGAUGAGGAGCUUGCUCCUCUGACGUUAGCGGCGGACGGGUGAGUAACACGUGGAUAACCUACCUAUAAGACUGGGAUAACUUCGGGAAACCGGAGCUAAUACCGGAUAAUAUAUUGAACCGCAUGGUUCAAUAGUGAAAGACGGUUUUGCUGUCACUUAUAGAUGGAUCCGCGCCGCAUUAGCUAGUUGGUAAGGUAACGGCUUACCAAGGCAACGAUGCGUAGCCGACCUGAGAGGGUGAUCGGCCACACUGGAACUGAGACACGGUCCAGACUCAUACGGGAGGCAGCAGUAGGGAAUCUUCCGCAAUGGGCGAAAGCCUGACGGAGCAACGCCGCGUGAGUGAUGAAGGUCUUCGGAUCGUAAAACUCUGUUAUUAGGGAAGAACAAAUGUGUAAGUAACUAUGCACGUCUUGACGGUACCUAAUCAGAAAGCCACGGCUAACUACGUG